rnacentral:rRNA from 1 species
CCUACGGGGAGCAGCAGUGAGGAAUAUUGGUCAAUGGCCGGAAGGCUGAACCAGCCAAGCCGCGUGAAGGACGAAGGUGCCAAGCAUUGUAAACUUCUUUUGUCAAGGGACAAAAUCAGGCUCGAGAGCCUGACCGAGGGUACUUGAAGAAAAAGCAUCGGCUAACUCCGUGCCAGCAGCCGCGGUAAUACGGAGGAUGCGAGCGUUAUCCGGAUUUAUUGGGUUUAAAGGGUGCGUAGGCGGACUGUUAAGUCAGCGGUAAAAGCCCGGGGCUCAACCCCGGCGAGCCGUUGAAACUGGCUGUCGUGAGAUGUCGAGAGGUAUGCGGAAUGCGCAGUGUAGCGGUGAAAUGCAUAGAUAUCACGCAGAACUCCGAUUGCGAAGGCAGCAUACCGGCGCUCAACUGACGCUGAGGCACGAAAGCGUGGGGAUCGAACAGGAUUAGAUACCCCUGUAGUC